GGGAUCUUGUUUCCUGACCAGGAAUCAAACCCGGGCCCCUUGUAUGGAGGUUGCAAGUCUUCACCACUGGGGAGCCAGGGAGGUCCCGAAGGGGGGGGGGGGGGGGGGGGGCGGUUCAUAGAGCUUGUGGGAUCUUGUUUCCUGACCAGGAAUCAAACCCAGGCCCCUUGUAUGGAGGUUGCAAGUCCUCACCAGUGGGGAGCCAGGGAGGUCCCGAAGGGUCAUCGUUUGCUACUUUGUUGCGGCACACAAGUCGCAUGUCCUCCAUGUUGAGUGUAUUAGGUGUGCCCUCAGCAUAGCAGUGAGGAACAGCAGAAGAGGCAGGCUGGGGAUUGAGAGAGCUGAGUGAGGAGGUGACUCCGGACCUCGGGAAGGAGUGACCCUUCCCCCCUUGCCCCAGUGGAACCAGCGCUCCUUUGCGUGUUUCAUCUGCAGGCAGAGGAUUUCUUGGUGUGUCUUCCUGCGUGUUGCAGCCCGAGCAGCCUGUCCCGCCUCUGACCUCUGCUGUUUGGACUCCAGCCUUGUUCCCGGGUACCCGCUGCAUUCUCAGUGGCCAGGGUCAUGUCCCCAGCUUGGCACCUGAACCUGGACGUUGGGGCUGGAGUUAGCAGUGUGGCCGAGGUGGGGAGGGAAGGAUAAAUGUCAUCGGUGAUGGACAUGUGGUUUUUUUCGGUGCUCUCUAUCCGCAGGCAGGAAGGUCUGUCCUCCCUGGGCCUGCAUGAGGCAUCCACAUCUGUGGAAAGUCUCUUCCAACCAAACUGAGGGCAGUGACGCGCCAGGUCGCCAAGACAGAACGGGGACUUCAGGGUCCAUGCUCUCUGCAGGGCAGGGCUCUUUCUCAACUGCCUGAGGUUUAUUCACCCCGAGUUCACGGCACUGAUUGCUCUCAGGAUUCCACAGGGACCUCUGGACACGGGGUGGGGUCACGGACCGGGUAGCUGGAGGCCUGGGCUGGGUGCAUGGGAGCCCUGGAAAAAUUGGACGGUGUCCGGUUCCAAAAAGCAUCUCUCGGGCCGCAGCGUGAGACAGGCUCCCUUGAAGGCAGAGGCCAGACUUGGCCUGCCACCUGUUUUGGUACAGCCUGCAAUCUCAGAAUGGUUUUGUAUUUUUAAACGGCUGGAAAAAGCCUCAUAUUCCGUGACACAUGAGAAUGCUAUGAAAUUCCCAGUUUUGCUGGAACCCAGCCAUACCUGCUCGUUCAGAUAGCGUCUGUGGUUGGUUGCCUUCUCCCUCCAAAGGGCAUUACAACAGAGUUUCCCUCGGGCCCCUGGAAGCCUCCCGUGUUGAUUCUCUGGCUCUUUCAGAACCAGCCUGAAAGGGGAUCAGAAAUGGUGGGAUCCAUGCCUGUCCGACUCUUUGCGAGCCUGGUGGGCUGUCGAACAUGGGGUCACAGAGUCAGACAUGCCUGAACAGUUGACAGACACACAGACGUACGCACACACAGCCCAGAUCUUUUCCCCUAUUAACCUACUUUGAAAGCUGCUAGAAGAAUUGUAGUGUGGAAAUUUCUCGGCUUUCUCCUGUGCCCCUCUGACAAGAUCUACAAAUAACCUCAGGGAGAGCUGGGCACAUGGCUUGGAGAGUUGGUCUCCUUGGCCUGGGAGAUAUCAGGGUAGGAACUGAGGCUCCCAAGGGCCUUGGAGUUCUUUGGGAGAGGGUGGGUGGAGCCAGCUACUCUGUUUUUCCUGUACUCACCCCUGCCUGCCAUUUCUUGUCCCUUUAAACAUGCUCUGUCAACAUCUUCCCUUCCUGACCCAGGAAGUGCAACAUAUAUGGGAGCACGGAACAGGAUGGACCACGGUGCUAUCAGGAGCGGGUCGGACUGGGAUGCUCGGCUGUUUCAAGCGUGAAGUAGAAGAGCCUUUAAGAAGGGCCUCCUGUUCUAGAUGAACAGGUGUCUGACUGAGAGGCCCUGUGCUUUAGUUGGACAGCGAGGUGGUGGAGGGGUUGCGUUGCAUCUGUAGCAGACGGUGUCGCAGAUGCCCUGAAGCUUCGGUGUGGCGAUUGCUUCAGCGGAG
ensembl:lncRNA